UACAGAGGUCUCAAGCGUUGUUCGGAUUCAUUGGGCGUAAAGGGUGCGUAGGCGGGUCUUUAAGUCAGGGGUGAAAUCCUGGAGCUCAACUGAGGAAGUGCGCCCGAAACUGCAGAGCUUGAGUGCCGGAGAGGGUGGCGGAAUUCCCCAAGUAGAGGUGAAAUUCGUAGAUAUGGGGAGGAACACCGGUGGCGAAGGCGGCCACCUGGACGGUAACUGACGCUGAGACGCGAAAGCGUGGGGAGCAAACAGG
rnacentral:rRNA from 1 species